UGAGCAAGAGCAUCAAUCAUAAUUGACGUUCUGUAGUUUGUCUUUACGUUGUUCAGUUUACUUUUCUUUUACAAUUUUUUUAAGUAAUUGUGGAGAGGAAGUUUUUUUUUCAAAUGGAAAAAUACCAAAAAUUAAAAAAAAAAUAAAUUUUAAAGAAAUAAAUGAAAAAAUUUCACUAAAAUAAAGUAGAGAAAUACAUAAAAGCCGAAGAAAAAGACGAGAAUAAAAUUUUUUAAAAUCCCAAUACUUAUAUUAUAUAACAACAUAUUUUCUUGGGAUAUAAAGUAAAUAAUAAUACAUAUACAUAUAUAUAUUAAUAAAUAAAUAGAAGAAUAUAUCGUAAUAUAUAUAUAUAUAUGUUAUAUACAACAAAAAAUAUAUAACAUUAAAUAUACAUAAUAUAUAACAUAAAAAUUAACAUAAUAAGAAAGAAGAAGACGAAAAAUAAAAAGAGGAAGAGAAUAUUAAAAUAUAUACAGCAAUAAUAUUACAUACCAUACCAUCAUUUUUAAUAAAAAAGGCAAAAAGAGAAGAAUUCGAAAAUGAUAAAGUCAGAAUAAAGUCCAGAUUAAAAAAUAAGCUUUAAUGACAAAAGAUAACCAAAAAGAUAAAGAUAAAAAUAAAAGUAAUCAAUGAUAAAAACAGAAUAAAACAAAACAAACGAAAGAAAAAAAACAUGAAUUUUUAACAAAGUAAUUAAAGAACAACAGAAAAUUAUUUCAACAAAAUAAAAGAAGACAAAUGAAAAUUUUAUUGAAAACAAAAAAAUAACAGAAACACAUAGAAUAUUUAAUUUUAAAAUUAUAAAUCACAGAUACAAAAAUUAACAUUGAAAGAUUUUCAAGAGAAAUCUAGCUCUCCGAACAAUAAAGAAGAGAUAGAAAUAAAAACAAAAAAGCAAUAACACAAAAGCAUACAAAGAGAAAAC